AUGGAUCUUCAUACAGUAUCAGUAGCUAGAGUCUGUAUUUUAUUACAUACUUCGUCCUCAUUGGAAUACCAUAUAUAAAUUUAAUGAUUUGUUUCAGAGAUAUUAUGCACCUUGUAAUUUUUGGCUAAAGGCAGUAAACUGUAAAGUAAUUAAUAAAUUUACCAGCAGAGAACGAUAACGUUUUUACUGUCGCAAAGGUUACGAUGCAAGAAAGUGCAAUUGAUAACAGAUAAAGAUCUAAAUAAGUCAAAUGUGGAUUCAACUUAAUAUGGUGGAAUGGUGGUGCUAUGCAAGUCUGAUUUAUUUUUAAUCACUGUAUCUACCUACCUAUAGUAAAAAAACCACUUAAGAGAUGUACAAAGGCUGGUGAUGAAGUGGUUUUGCUUGGUGAUUAAGGAUAUGCUCCAAGCGCCUGCCUAAUGACACCAGUGAGUGGUACCGAAGAUAAUUCCCCAGAAGCACUCAUAUUCUGCAAACUAUAAAUCAAACAUUUUACAUCUCUAUGUACCUAAAAGAAUAAUAAGUGUGGAUAUGUACAAACUUUCAUUAAAAUUUUUGUUUCAUCUUAAUUAUUUUGAAUAAUAAAAUAUACCUAUGUAUAAAUGUAUUUCGUAUUUAAAAUAAUUAUUAAGACUACCUCUAAUUUUAUCA